UUAUUAUCAUCUGUUAUCUAUGUUUUGCAGUUCUACAUUCGUUUUUGUAUUUAAGUUUCAAUUGUAAAUUCCUUUCAUGUAUUUUGUAUAAAAAUGAAGUUUGUCUGUUAGUUUAUGUUUUGAUAGUUUCCACUUCUGAAUUACUCAGUGUUGUCCACGUACUAGUUGUUAUAUAAAAAUUGUCGUUCUCCUUAUGGUAUCUAGUAGUGACGUUUUGUCCUCCAACCAUUAUACAGAUUUAACUUACUAUUUUUUUUUAGAUGGCUGUACACCAGAUAUACUCAGGACAUAUUGAUACAUGAAUUACCAUUUCUACCACAUGGGAAAGUUUCAACAUCCUACGUUGAAAAUGGACUGGACGAUCCUGAUAAUAAUAAUAGUUUUAUGCAUAAUUGACGUAUGUCAAAUCACUCAAGGCAUGCAGAAACAUGAAUUCACAUUUCUACCACUUAAGAAAGUAUCAACAUCCUAUGCUGAAAAUGGACUAGAAGAUACUGCUAAUAAUAUUGGGUUUAUGUAAUGUGCGUGUAAGGGUUAUUGAAUAUAAUUGAUAGUAAAUUAAUGGCAGUGAAACAAUUGAGAUUCGUUAAUAAUCUGAAUAAAAUUUUAGUUAACACCUUU